GACGAACGCUGGCGGCGUGCUUAACACAUGCAAGUCGAACGACGAAGCUGGAGCUUGCUCUAGCGGAUUAGUGGCGAACGGGUGAGUAACACGUGAGCAAUCUGCCCUUGACUCUGGGAUAACUGCGGGAAACUGUAGCUAAUACCGGAUACUUUCACCGGGGGGCAUCCGCUGGUGAUGAAAGAAUUUCGGUCAAGGACGAGCUCGCGGCCUAUCAGCUUGUUGGUGAGGUAACGGCUCACCAAGGCGACGACGGGUAACCGGCCUGAGAGGGUGACCGGUCACACUGGGACUGAGACACGGCCCAGACUCCUACGGGAGGCAGCAGUGGGGAAUAUUGCACAAUGGGCGCAAGCCUGAUGCAGCAACGCCGCGUGAGGGAUGAAGGCCUUCGGGUUGUAAACCUCUUUUAGCAGGGAAGAAGCGAAAGUGACGGUACCUGCAGAAAAAGCACCGGCUAACUACGUGCCAGCAGCCGCCGUAA
rnacentral:rRNA from 1 species